rnacentral:tRNA from 1 species
GGAUUGUGGCUGAGAGGUAAAGCGCUUGCCUGGCAUUGCAUGAGGCACUGGGUUCAAUCCCCGGCACCA